CAGGAUGCCCCUCUCUGAAGAAGGCGAACAGGAGACGUACAUCGCCUGCACAAAAACACCUCAAGGGGAAACACAGAUGGAAGCAUGCAGCACGGUAUUCUCGAGUGGUCUGGUGAUCAUUAGUCCCACAAUGACGUGCAUUUUGUGGUUGUUGUUCGUGUGAUCGGUGAUCUGUAUUUUUAGUCUUAAUCAUCUCUGUGCGGAGGACUGUGGCGUUGGUGAUAUAUUGAAUUGUGCCCGUGUUGCAGUAAAUCGAAAGGUAAAAGGAGGAGGCUUGAUCCAUAAACUGAACUAGUUUUGCAUCUCUCUUCUUUCAUUUGUGCUCGCUGUAGCCCAAAAAACAUGAAGCAAAGGAUCCUGGGAAUGGCAUAAAGCCCUCUGGGAAGGUGGAACAUGCAGAGAAAACGGGAAGGAAGGGGAAAACUUGAGCAAGAGACAAUUAAAAAUGUAGUAAAAGUGGGAUGUGUGUGUUAAGUUGUUUCUAGUACUUACGCUAUUGAUUUGAGAUGUUUUUUGUGAUUGUGGCACCAGAGUGAAUAAUAAAUCUCAACAUAAGGAAGUACAUCCAUGAGAAGGCGUUACUGUCAUACAAAACAGUUAAGCCUCAUAUGAAUAUUCAUAUGUUGGGUAAAUACGGUAACAAAAAUAAGAGCAGUGACAGAUCUUCUAUUACAAUAAUGGGAGAUAAUAACGAAAGAAGCUCAUACGCAGAGUUCGAACAAGUGCCAGUCAGAAUAUUUCAUGACAUUCAGAUAAAAGGAAGUGCACGUCAUUUCUUUCACACCCAGAGUGCAAGUGUAGUGAUGAAGGAGUUUCUCAAGCCUCUCUGACUCUCACAGCUUUUUCCCAAGCCCAGGGCUGAGGCCCCUGAUGGGGCAAUCCACUAUCUGACAGAGAGAGAAUGGAAGAGAAAGGGAAAACAAGGUCUCGGAGGAAGAUGGGAAGGGAGAGAAAGGCAGAUAACUGAAAUCUUUACCCACAGCAUCAUCAGCCUAAUUAUAAAGUUCUUAUUGUUCAGGUUGCUGAGGAAAGAGCAUGUCAAAUGCCUCAUACGAUGCCUGUUCUCGUUGUGUUGAUAACGAUUACGGUGUUUCAGUCUCCCACAAGUCUGAGAGACGCCUACAUGACACUCAUGGCCACAUAACAACAACCUCACCUCAGCACGGGGGGGAAAGGGAGGAGGAGGAAAAAGAAAGAAUAACUGACAAGACAGUUCCCCAAAUGUCUGAAGGACAUGAACAUGAGACUCACGGCCACAAAACAAUAACCUCAUCUGAACACAGGGAGGAAAGGAUGGAUGAGGAAAAAGAAAGCAAAGCUGAAAGGAAAGUCUCCCACAAUUUUGGGGAACACGUACACGAGACUAAUGGCCACAAAACCUCAUCUGAGCACGGAGAAGAAAGGAAGGAGGAGGAGCAUAAAGAAAGAAACACUGAGGAGACAGGUACAUCUAUGUGUAGAGGUGAAGAGUAUAUAAAUCUACUAACCUAUAUGUAAAUUAAUAUAUUGUAGUUUACUUUUUGUUUAGAUGUGCAGUGGACCAAAACUGAACUUUGCAACUCACAGCAAAACAUGGUCCCUUAAAAAAAAUGGAAACAACAGAAAUGUAUCACAAUAUAAAAACUGAGGGACACAUACAUGAGACUCAUGAUAUAUACACACACACACACAUAUAUAUACAUAUACACACACAUAUAUGUAGAGAGAGAGAG